AUUGAACGCUGGCGGCAUGCCUAACACAUGCAAGUCGAACGGGGGUAGCAAUACCCUAGUGGCGGACUGGUGAGGAAUACGUAGGAAUUUGCCCUUAAGUGGGGGAUAACCCGGGGAAACCCGGACUAAUACCGCAUGAUCUCGUGAGAGCAAAGCAGGGGACCGCAAGGCCUUGCGCUUUUGGAGAAGCCUACGUCGGAUUAGCUAGUUGGUGGGGUAAUGGCCCACCAAGGCUACGAUCCGUAACUGGUCUGAGAGGAUGAUCAGUCACACCGGAACUGAGACACGGUCCGGACUCCUACGGGAGGCAGCAGUGGGGAAUAUUGGACAAUGGGCGAAAGCCUGAUCCAGCAAUGCCGCGUGUGUGAAGAAGGCCUUCGGGUUGUAAAGCACUUUAGGCUGGAAAGAAAAAGCUUUGGCUAAUAUCCAAAGCCUUGACGGUACCAGCAGAAUAAGCACCGGCUAACUCUGUGCCAGCAGCCGCGGUAACAC
rnacentral:rRNA from 1 species